GACGAACGCUGGCGGCGUGCUUAACACAUGCAAGUCGAACGGAAAGGCCCCUUUGGGGGUACUCGAGUGGCGAACGGGUGAGUAACACGUGAGUAACCUGCCCUUGACUUCGGGAUAACUUCAGGAAACUGGGGCUAAUACCGGAUAGGAAUCCUUGCUGCAUGGUGGGGGUUGGAAAGCUUCGGCGGUUUUGGAUGGACUCGCGGCUUAUCAGCUUGUUGGUGGGGUAGUGGCUUACCAAGGCUUUGACGGGUAGCCGGCCUGAGAGGGCGACCGGCCACAUUGGGACUGAGAUGCGGCCCAGACUCCUACGGGGGGCAGCAGUGGGGAAUAUUGCACAAUGGGCGGAAGCCUGAUGCAGCAACGCCGCGUGCGGGAUGACGGCCUUCGGGUUGUAAACCGCUUUCAGCAGGGGCGAAGCUUGUGGUGACGGUACCUGCAGAAGAAGCACCGGCUAACUACGUG
rnacentral:rRNA from 1 species